rnacentral:hammerhead_ribozyme from 1 species
AUCCAUCUGAAGAGUCUCAAAUAGGACGAAAUUCGCGUAGUCCUGGAU